rnacentral:rRNA from 1 species
GAUGAACGCUAGCGGCAGGCUUAAUACAUGCAAGUCGAGGGGCAGCAGGUCUGUAGCAAUACAGAUGCUGGCGACCGGCAAACGGGUGCGGAACACGUACAGAACCUUCCUUCGAGCGGGGAAUAGCCCAGAGAAAUUUGGAUUAAUACCCCAUAGUACAUUGAAGAGGCAUCUCUUUAAUAUUAAAGAUUUAUCACUUGAAGAUGGCUGUGCGGCUGAUUAGGUAGUUGGCGGGGUAACGGCCCACCAAGCCUACGAUCAGUAACUGGUGUGAGAGCACGACCAGUCACACGGGCACUGAGACACGGGCCCGACUCCUACGGGAGGCAGCAGUAAGGAAUAUUGGUCAAUGGACGCAAGUCUGAACCAGCCAUGCCGCGUGGAGGAUGAAGGUCCUCUGGAUUGUAAACUUCUUUUAUAUGGGACGAAAAAGGCUUUUCUAAGUCGUCUGACGGUACCAUAUGAAUAAGCACCGGCUAACUCCGUGCCAGCCGCC